rnacentral:rRNA from 1 species
GGUAAAUACGUGCCAGGGGGGGCGGGAAUACGGUGGUGGCGGUGGUUGGCCGGAAUUACUGGGGGUAAAGGGCGUGGAGGCGGGGAUGUAAGUCAGAUGUGAAAUUCCACGGCUUAACUGUGGCGCUGCAUCUGAAACUAGGUCUCUUGAGUGCUGGAGAGGAAAGCGGAAUUCCAAGUGUAGCGGUGAAAUGCGUAGAUAUUUGGAGGAACACCAGUGGCGAAGGCGGCUUUCUGGACAGUAACUGACGCUGAGGCGCGAAAGCGUGGGGAGCAAACAGGAUUAGAUACCCCGGUAGUC